AAAAUAAUAAUCCCACAAAAAAUGCAACUCAUUUGUAAUCUAUCGAGUGGUCUUCUCAACGAGCACUGAUUAUAUCACCUGUCAUUAUUGGGAUUUGCUUUUGUAUGGCCCUUAUUUUCAUUUCUCUAUCAGAUAAUACAUUUUCAAAACAUUAUUUUUUUUUUCGUUCGGACAGAUUGAUGUGAUUGUAUUACUCGUCACGCUACAAAUUGCUGUUCCCUCGCUGUUGUAAAUAUAAAAAGCGCAGCAUUUUUUUAUUUUAUUAAUUCCCUCCUCUGCCCACUCACAAUAAAAAAUUGUGCAUUAUUUUGUGCAAUGGCCCAUUAUUUGUUUUGUAAAAAUUAUCACUUAAGGUUGAGAAAGGUGUUCUAAAUCGCUGGGGAUUUAAUGUGUAAACAAAUAAAAUGGGGUUGUAUUGUUUUUUUUUUUUAUUUCACUAUCAAAUGAUAAGACACUUGAUUCGUAAGACGCAAUUUGGAAAGACAAGUUAGUUAACCCAUUGAAUUCCAUCCUGAGACUUUGUUGUUGCAGGUAUAUAAACGGGGUGAGAUGAAAAACUACAAUCAACUUCAGAAUACUGCCAUUUCUAAGUCAGCUGUUCGGCAGCUGUUAAAAUUAUUCCAGUGACAGGUCAUUAUUUUGUUUACAAGCGUACAAAGGCUAUUUGGUGAGAAUUUUCCAGAAGAAAAUGUUAUUCGUGAUGGAAUUCAAGCGUGAUAGUGUGAUUUCUUUAUAUUUGGCUGGAAAACCCCAAGUGGCCAUUGUUAGAGCACUCCAGCAUUUGAAUGUGAAUAAAUCUUUUGUGUCUCGUACCAUCGCUCGUUACCGUGUUACCGGUAGCGUAGUCCGACGUCAAGGAAGUGGAAGGAAGAAAACAGCAACAUUGGCAGAAAUGGUUCGAAAAGUAAAGAAGCUAUUUGAUCGAAACCCGCUGCAGUGACCGAAAAAUAGCUCGUGAGCUGGAAAUGUCGCAAUAUUCCAUUAGGCAAAUAUUGAAAAAUGAGCUCGGGAUAAAGCCAUUGAAAUUCCAAAAAAGUGCAAGAACUUACACCGCAACAGAAAGAAAAUAGACUCAAAAGAGCUAAAAGAGUUGCUUCGCUUGGCCAAAAGUGGUGAACUGCCGAAUUUGGUUUUCUCCGAUGAGAAAACAUUCGUUGUCCAGCAGUUUGUAAACAAAUAAAAUGAUCGUGUUUACUUGCCAAAAAGGUCAGCUGAAAAUGUGCACAUUCGGUGCACACGGUGAAGGUGUGGGUCACCAUAACAGCCGAUGGUCGCUCUCCGCUCGUACUAAUCGACCGUGGCAUCAGAAUAAAUGCCGAAUUUUAUCGGGAAAAUAUUCUGGAGGGUGUAUUAAAGCCAUUUUGGCCGCAGAACUUGGACAUUCUAACAGGACUCAGAACGCGCCACCCAAAAAUGGUUACAAAAUAAGGUUCUUCGCUUCAUUUCCAGCGCACAAUGGCCACCAAAAUCUCCGGUUACUAAUCCGUUGGACUAUUGUGUCUGGAGUAUUUUGGAAAGCAAGGUUGCCACUAAAAAUACCAAAAUGUCGAUCGCCUCAAGCAAGCGCUUCGCCGGGAAUGGGCCGAAAUACCGCAGAGCAACAUUCGGGCAGCGUGUGACGGUUUCAUUGGCCGUUUGAAGGCCAUAAUUCGUGCCAAAGGUGACCAAUUCGAACAAAUCUAAACUUAUUCUAAAAUUUGAUGCUAUUUCCGACUUUUUUGCUUUCAUUCCAUAAAAUUUAAAAAAUGUAAAAAUUAUGGCGUUUGACUUUGUUGUAUUUUUUUAUCUCACCCUGUAUUUGUUCUGCUAGUUAUCUCAGGCUUCGAUUCUUAUUUGGCUGAAUAUACUUAAUUUCCUUCUUUAAACGAAAGUGUACUGUUGGGUUCCAUGAAGGGCCAAUGAUCAACUGAUCCGUUUUUGAAAAACUAAAAAUACAAAAUACUUAUCUGAUCCCAUUAAAAACAAAAAAAUGACUUUGACUCCAUGGAUCGCUUAGGUUAGGUUAAAGCACUCCUAAGGCAACUACGAAUCCUGACCUAACCGCUCCACUCGGAGACCUGCUGAUACGUUGUUUUUAUCCCAUCCAUGAUUAUGUGGUCGCAUUUGUUCUGAUUGUCUAAUUCAGGUUGGUGGGUUAAUAGGAAUGUAUUUUCAAGUUCAAAAUAAAGACUAUUGUUAAGAGUUGCAUUUUUCCAAGGCGCUUUUGAUAAGAGCGUGAUCUAUCCACAGCUAUAUGUGUUCGCAAUCAGUUGUAAUAAUUCCAUAAAGCCACUAAUUCCCUAUCUACUUGAAUUUUGAAAAAAAAUAACAAUGAAAACAAUGUCAGUGGAAAUUGUGGAAAAUUUCCUCAAGAAAUUGUGUGUUUUCGAAUAUUUUAUAUUCUUAUCUAAAAUGUCAUAAUUGUCGUUUUUUUUGGAUCGAUUUCGUUUUUCGAAUUGAAGUUGGCUGAUAUAUUCAAAGCAACAUAAUAGCAAAUCAACGAAGAUCGCUAGUUUGGAAAUCUCACAUAGUCUUAUUAUAAGAUCCUGCUAUUCUGUCCAAAAUAAUUUCAACGUCUCCAUAUGUAAACCCUCGAAACCAACGCCUUAGCACCAAGAUUGGCCCUCGUGCAAAAUUUCAAGAUUCUAGCUUCAGCCGUUUCAUUUGGGAGUUGAUUCUCAGUCCGUCAGUUAUUUCACUACUUGUUCAUAUAUAUAGAAGAUUUCGUAUACAUCGGGAUCCAAUACUUGAUGACUCAGUGAAAAUUCGUUUAUUUUUUCUUUUUCAUAAAAAAAUGUGACGCUCUGUGAUGCUGUGACGAAGGCAAAAAUCUAAACAUAUCGUCGUGGUUAUAAAUCUGUCAAAUGUGCUACAUUUGUUUACUCUGAAAUGUAGACAACUUUUAAGAUCGUCAUUCAUAUCCGUACAUCUGCUGGGACAUACAUUUUAUCGUCAUUGGCUUUUGCAGAUUUUGCCAUUUCUUUUUUAAGUUAUUAUGAUAAGAAACCAUCUGGCUGGGGGCUAUAUACAGUGUAUGGUGCUGCUCAAGAAGUCAAUGAAGGCCAUGAUAUGAUAUGUGAUUGGAAUUUGGUCUGCUACAAAGAAUAAUAAAUUUUGCAAGGUUUAGGUGGCUCUAAACUCGCAUA